GGGAAUAUUGGACAAUGGGCGAAAGCCUGAUCCAGCAAUGCCGCGUGAGUGAUGAAGGCCUUAGGGUUGUAAAGCUCUUUUACCCGGGAUGAUAAUGACAGUACCGGGAGAAUAAGCUCCGGCUAACUCCGUGCCAGCAGCCGCGGUAAUACGGAGGGAGCUAGCGUUGUUCGGAAUUACUGGGCGUAAAGCGCACGUAGGCGGCUUCUCAAGUCAGAGGUGAAAGCCUGGAGCUCAACUCCAGAACUGCCUUUGAAACUAGGAAGCUUGAAUCCGGGAGAGGUGAGUGGAAUUCCGAGUGUAGAGGUGAAAUUCGUAGAUAUUCGGAAGAACACCAGUGGCGAAGGCGGCUCACUGGACCGGCAUUGACGCUGAGGUGCGAAAGCGUGGGGAGCAAACA
rnacentral:rRNA from 1 species